rnacentral:lncRNA from 1 species
AAAUAAUAGCUAAUAACUAGGGAUGGAAUGAGAAGGAGACUUAACGGAUCUGCGAACGUAGCGGAUGUCUACCUAAAGUCUCCAAAAAUGCUCCCUGACAGCUACUGACGGUAUGCCUGUUCAGAUGUCCUGGAUCUGCACAACAAAAGUGUGCAGAAGAGUAGCAUAAGUACACCACAGCGGUACUCAGAAAGUGCCAAGCCUAACCUCGGUGGGGUAGUGACGAGGAAGGUCGAGGACCUACUGAGAUAAACAUAAGAAUAAAUAUGAAAUGAAUAUGAGUACACCACAGGGUACUUAGUAAGUGCCAAGCCUAACCUCGGUGGGGUAGUGACGAGGAAGGUCAAGGCCCUACUGAGAUAAACAUAAGAUUAAAUAUGAAAUGAAUAGACAAUAGGAAAUACAGUAAAUCUAGAGUAUCCAGCAGAAUAAUAAGUAUAACGGAAAUAGGCUACAACUACAACUACAAUCUAUGAAUACAAGAACAAUUACUACAGGCUAUUUAUCAUCAGGGAUCUCCUGUUAUCCCGAGGAUCUCCUGGUAUCCUCAUCGUAUACACGAGGGAUCUCCAUGUAUCCCGAGGAUCUCCUAGUAUCCUCAUCAUAUACACAAGGUAUCUCUAAGUAUCCCGAGGAUCUCCUAGUAUCCUUAUCAUAUACACAAGGGAUCUCUAAGUAUCCCGAGGAUCUCCUAGUAUCCUUAUCAUAUACACGAUGGAUCUCCAAGUAUCCCGAGGAUCUCUUAGUAUCCUCCAGUUAAUCAGUCUUGUGCCGGGGAUCUCUAAGUAUCUGCCAGUUAAUAAAUCCUGUGUCGGGGAUCUCUUGAUAUCCUAAACUUCAAAAUCUCAGAACAAAAUACAGGGGGAGCUCCUGGGAUGCCGUUCCGUAGUCCGAAUAGUAAACACAUCACAACAAAUUAAUACUUUGAAAGAAGCUAAGUGCGGACAACAAGUAAAAUCUAGAGUCUAGCAUGCUUAACAAGAAAGACAGAAAUUGCAAUUUAGUCAAAUAGAUCAAAUAAGUUACUAACAUGCUUUCGCUAAGAUAAGUAAAAUUGUAUUUUUAACAGUUAAAUAUGUGAAGAAACACAGUUUAAAUAACCCAAGUAAGGUAGAUUUUCAACAACUAGCACAAGCACACGCCCGUCACCUCAUGCACAAGGCAUUUAAACAAAACAAAGAUAUCCUAAGGGGAGAGGUCCCCUCAAGCAAAGUUAGACAAGCCACUUACCUCGGACCAGUACCAAAAUCGCAAAGAAACAAUGCCCUUACCACGAGUAUCUGACUCCGAGUGGCCCAAAUCUAUUCAAAUCAAUUACAUAUUAUAAAUAACAUCGCAAGUAACUAAUUCCAAUAUUAAAAUUAAAGCUAAGGCAUGAAAAUAGAUAAAAUAACUAAAAUGCCCCUCAGGCCAACAUCUUGAAAUCAAAUAAUUUUUACAUUUUCAGAAAUCUCUUACUCUCACGAGUCUAAUCAUAUAAAAAUCUCCCAAAUCGGAGAUCAAAUGCCCCUUCAAAUUCUCACAAUUAAGUCUAAUAACUUUACCCCAAUUUUCAUUCAAAAAUCCAAAAUUAGAGGUUGAAAUCACGGUUACAUAAGUGGAUUUUAGUCAUAGAGGAGUAAGGAAUCGUUACGCAAUAGUUGCCUCUGAAAAGCCCUUGAAAAAUCUCCUAAAACCCCGAGCUCUCUAGCUUGAGUUUUUGUAAAAAUGGAAUAAGGGUUCGUUUUGAAAUGUUUAUAUCUGCGCAGGGAUUUUCUUCAGUGCGAUCGCAUAAGAAGGGAUGCGAUCGCGUAGAGUAAAAUUUAAGGCCUGGAAAAUGCUCUAUGCGAACAAGCCAACAGGGUGCGAUCGCGGAGUAGAAGAAGGUAGACCUAUGCGAUCGCUUUAAGGACCCCUGCGAUCGCAUAGAGGAAAUGAAUCUCUAAUCACCGGCUAGAGUUGUUUAGUGCGAACGAGGAAGGAAGUAUGCGAUCGCAUAGAAGGAGGGAGAAGAGCUAUGCAAUCGUAUUCAAGGGCCUGCGAUCACAUUGAAGGAAAAAUGGCCCUCCACAAUUGGCACUACGCGAUCGCAUGGGAGUUCAUGCAAUCGCAGAGAAGAAUGUUCUGCUACAACAGAAAAUCUGUUGUACUCUAAGUUCAACAAUUGCUCUGUUGAGAAUAUGAAACACACCUGAGGCUCCCGAGACCUCAAUCAAACCUACGGACAUAUCCCAUAACAUCAUUCAAUCUUGUACCAAUCCUUAAACCACCUAAAACAAUGCCGGAAGCUCGAAUUAAUCAAUGAUUUGAACUUAAAAACUUCAAAACUUAAUCAAACUCACUUUCGAUUCAAAACCUAACCAAAACACAUCCGAUUGACCUGCAACUUUGCAUGCACAUCCCAAAUAACAUUAGGGUGCUACAGCAACUUCCGGAAUCCCGUUCUGACCCUCGGAUCAACAAUUCACCAUCGGACCAGAAACUUCAAAAUUCUAACUUUCAGCAUUUCCAACCUAAAUGAGCUACAUGCAUCCAAAAUACAUUCCGAACACGGUCCCAACCCCAAAAUCACCUAACGGAGCUAACGGAACCAUCAGAUUUCCAUUUCGAGGCCAUCUUCAUACUUUUCUGAUUAUGGACUAUUUUCCAACACUUAAUCUCUCAUUUAGGGACUAAGUGUCCCAAAACUCUCCGAAUUCUAUUACCGAACGUCCGAAAACCCCAAAAUAGCAGAAAUAAACUUAGGGGAAGUAGUUAAUGGGGGAACGAGGCAUAAAUUUCAAUGAAGACCGACCGGGACGUCACAUAGCACAUAAGUGUACAUGAUGGCCUCAAAGAGGAUACCUGUCUUAUACGGACCCGGCCCCUGUGCCGAGUCUCGCUAAGUCAAAUGCACGUGAUGCACAUAAAGCGAACCUACUAGGGAUAUCUGGCAUGAGGUUUUUUCUUCUAGGUUUAAAUCCUGGUGGAGAAGGUAUCUAGACCAGCUUACUCGAUUGAACAUCUCGAGCUGAGAAGGGUCAGUGUACCGGUAGUAUUGCUUUUCGACUUAACUGGUGGUGCUCCCCGCCUAAACAUGUGUGACUAAAAUGAUUCACCGGGUGACAAGCACCUCGGCUAUCUCAAAGAAAGCGGGCUAUGUCAAGAAAAUACUCAAUUUUUAAUUUCAAGAAGACUCAAAGGGUACGCGAGAAGACAAUUUGUAUGUACAGUUCAAUAAUAUCGAAGCAGUAAAAUGCGAAUAGGUAUCACAUUAGGCACAAAUAAAUAACAAUAUACACAAAAUUAAUAAAGCCGAAUAAAAGUCAACAUGUACAAGCUUAAAUUCUAGUUAGUUCCCCAGCAGAGUCGCUAGAGCUGUCUCACCCCAUUUUGUACCCCUCCAAAAGAUAUGGAUGUUAUGGAUUAUAGUGGGUUAAAAAGUUUUAAAAUUAAAGUGAUAAUAUUAAAAUAGGGAUUAUUUUAUUAUUCAAAGUCGUCACAUGGAAUUGAUUUUUGGGUGUUCCAAGUCAUCAUUUAUUUAAGUCCUAAGUCAAAGGAAGGUUUGACUCUAUUUUAUCGGUCAGCGAAAAUAAAGUUCGGAUAAGGAAUUUUAUUAACCGGAGAGAAGGUGCAAGGCAUUCCCCGAGUACUGUGAUUUUAGCACGAUCGCUUUUAUUGACUAAAAUUGGCUUGAAUUAUUUUUGGAAAAACUGUGCUUUAUUUAGUUUUUAUGUUUUACCUAUCCGCUUGAUUAUUUGGUUUAUUAAUAAAAAAUAAUUUUUUGGAUGAAUUAUGUUCUCAUAACCAUGCUACGCGAGUGAGUGCGAGAUCGAAUAAAAAUAAUUAAUUAACUUUUCAUAAUUGCGCCUCGCAAGCGAAUCCGAAAUCAUGACAAUCAAUUAUUUGUAAUACUUUUUAAAAAAAAUUACUACAUUUGAAAAAAUUAGCUCUUGAAAAUUUAAAAAUCAAUUGUUGCGCUAUGCAAACGAAUCUGAAAUUUUAACAAGGAUUAGUUAAAUUAAAAUUUAACUAAAAAAUUGAUGGGUAUGGUAUGGAAUUAUUGAAUUAAUUUAUUGAAUGUUAAACAUCACGUUUCACAAGCGAUUCCAUGAGUUUUGCUUACCUACUAAUUGCCUAGCGUUUAAAUUAAUUACUACGGAGAUUAAGUUAUUUUUUUUAAAAAAAAUAUUCACUAGAAAAGGCUAUAAUCCUAUUAUGUUUGUUUAACCAAAUAUAACAUUUAAACUUGGACUAGCUUAUCAAUUAGUGGCAUUGGUAUUGCUGAAGUUAUUGAAAGAAAAUUGGCCCAUUUUUAUGAGGAAACUACACUAACUACCCACUAAACCCAAAAUAAAUACCCGGUUUUACCUAUUUGGAUAGUAAUUACUAAAUAUACCUAUUCCAUAUAAAAUUAUUACCCGUCUAAUUAUAAAGAAAGUCUCUAAAGACUUCAGGGGAAAUGAACAUAUACUUAAUCCACGCUUAGUCUUCCUUGUUACAAUACAAAGUACGAAACAUUUUCAUUUCUCUCUUCAUCAAUUUCCUCUCUUUGUUUUUGCUUUUAUUUUCAUAAGUUAAAUUUUUUAUCUAAUAGACAAUAUUUUUAUGAUAUUCACAAAUGGGUAGUUAUGUUAAUUUUCUCUUGUUGAAUGAAAUUAUAUUGAAUGCCUUUUAUCGCCAUAAAACACUAUCUCCCUCCUUACAAAUUUCACAUUUUUUUGUAACUCUUUGUCCUUGUUCGAGUCAUUUUUCAAAAUAUGAUUGUGAUUUUGGUGCUUGGAAUUUGAUAUUAAGCUUCUCAAAUCUGAAUUUUGUGUGUAUUUGAAUAUCCUCUAUUGUUGGGUUUGAAAGUAUUGAAUUUAAAAAAUUUAUGUUGAAGAUUUUUUGUUUGAUUCAAAGUGGGUGUUAUUAAAUAUUACUUAUAGUACCUUCUGAAAUUUCAUACUAAAAUUUGAUCGCAUUGGAGCUGAUUUUAGGUGAUUGAGAUAUAAUUUUCAACUAAAAAAUGAAUAGAAAUACAGUUAUGCAACAGUAUACCGCUACAUUAUACAAAUAUACUAUAGGAGUAUAUAACUAUACUGCGACACUAUACUAUUAUAGUUUACAAGUUAAUAGUAUUACAAGUUACAGACAAUAACAAGAGAAGAAGACAAUACCAAAAUCUUCAAGGAUUACAAGUUACAGACAAUAACAAGAAAGAAAUGAUGCUGGAUGAUACCUUUUAACCAUAAUUCUUUUUGUAUUUUGUAGCUAAAUUUUUAGUCAAUUUGGUGGAGAUUUUGUAGUAAAUUUUAGAAAUUUGGGUUGAAAUACAGUUGAACUAGAGAAGAAGACAAAUUUGUAUUGUAUACUCAAAUAGUAUACAAAUAUACCAUUUUAGUAUACAAUUCAUCACAUCUAUAUACCCUAUUAGUAUAGCUAUAUAUUAUUGAUAUCAUAUGCUAGUUGAAUUAUUUUUUGAUUGUAUUAGCUGUAUUUAAUUAGUACAAUAUUUGGUUUCUUUUAAUAAUAGUAAUAUAGUACAAUAUCUUGAAAUACCUUAUUAUAUUAAUAUGUGGUACACUAUUUUUUUCUUUAUGCAUGUGUGUUAUCUAAUAGUAGCAUAGUCAUAUAGUUGCCGAGAAUUAACUAGUAAAAUUGUAUACCGUGUUGGUAUAGUUAUAUGCCAUAUUGGUAUUAUAUGGUAGUUUGAACAUUAUUUUGGUUGUUUUAGCUACAUUUUAAGUUAACUCUAUUAUGAAAUUAUUUAUAUUAACAUGAGUUGCAAUAAUACUAGAAUUUUUGUGUGCUUAUGGGCAUAAAUUAAGUGUAUUAAUAGUUUUUAUAGUUAUAGGCAAUUGUUGGAACGACCCUAUACAACUAUAUAGCCUCUUAAUAUAUCAAAUGUGGAAGUUCUUUUGCGAAUAUUUAGUUUGCAAUACGAGCAUGUAAUUUUCUUAUACUUUUAUUGUGUUCCUUAAUGCUUUGGUAGAGUAGUAUAGUCGCAGAUAGUUGUAGCAAUAUUUUAGAGAAAUCAUAUGCGUUAUUGGUAUAUAUAUAUACCAUAAUGGUAUAACAUGGUAUUAGAAGUCUUUUUCGCUACAUAUACUUUAUUUCUAUUUUUAAUAUUUUAUUAUCAUUUUUAUUCUAACUAGUAUAUAUUGUACUAGUUAUAUUAAAAAAGGUGAAUAAACAUUUACUAUAUCAAUUAUUUUUCUUAUUGUAUAAAAAAGAAUAAUAAAAAACAGUGAAAAUGGUAAAUGAAAUUAGAUUAUGAAGAGAAAAAGAAUAUAUAUAAAAAAAUAAGUUAAAUGAAAUUAGAAAAGGAAAAAAAAAGCAGAAAAGAAAAAAAGAAAAAAAGAAGAAGAAAAGAAGCAUAGAAAUAAAAAAGAAUUGGAGAAUAAAAGAAAAAAUUCCCUACACAAACUACUAUGGGUAGGAAAUAUAAUUAGUUUAUGGGUAGAAAAACAAAUGGAUAGACAAGAAUAAAUGGUUUUAUUUUUAUGGGUAACUGUGUCAAAACCCCUAAAAUAAUAUUCAUUGUAGUAGAAGUAGGAGCCAGAAGACAUAAAAUAGUAAUAUAUCUAUUUGGUAUACUAUUAUGACAAGUAUUUUAUAAUAAUAUUAAUUACAAAUAUGCCAUUUUAUUAUACUAAUAUAAUAUCUUAUUAUAAUGAUAUAUAAUUUUGAAUCUUAUGUGCUAGAAAUAUUUACAGUAAUACAUAUAUUUAAAAAAGAUAAAUAAGAUAUACUAUAUAGGUUGUUUUUUUAAAAUUGAUAUGAGGAAAAAGAAAAUAUGGAACAAAAGGAAAAAAUUCAAAGUAUUUAUCAGUUUUUUUUAUUUCUAUGGCAAAAGAAAAAAAUAAAGAAAAGGAUCAAAUGAGUGCCGAUCAUCAAUAAGCAUUUGAUGGUCCAUGGAAUAGAUAGACCGGGUAAAUACUUUGAUUUGGAUAGAAAAGGGUAAAUUGUUUGUAUUAGGUAGGUAUUUGUGAACUUAUCCCCAUUCUUAUUGAAAGUAAGGGCUUGUUAUAUUCAGAAGGAAUGGACCAGCCAACUUUGUUUGAAUUGGGUUGCAGAAAUUUGGAUUUAUUUGGCCCACAUAUAUUUUUUUUAAAAGAAGAAAAGACCAGCUAGCAUGCUUAAACGAAAUGGGCCUAGCAGAAUUUCUUUACAAAGAACAGGCCGAUUAACUAUUAUUUUCAUGGGCCUGGUGAACGUGAUUUUAUUUGGCCCAAAUAAUCUGUAGUUCCAAUUAACUAAUACUGCCAACAAAACUAGUUAUGCAUAAAUUUAUGUAGCCUAUUUAUUUAAAUCCAACUUCUUUUAUUGCUUAAAAAAAAGUCUACCUCUAUUAAGUAUUACCACAUUAUCUAAUGCUAACUUACACAAGAACAAAAAAAAAAUUAAACUUACGCAUCUCUAAUGACCAAUUUCAGUUAAAUAGGGCGAAACUAACGUAUUCGUCACGCCAACUCUCCAAACUUCAAAUAACCUCAUUUGACUAAACAUUGGUGUCUCUCUUUUUAGCUUCAAACACCCAAUGAACUUAAAGAAAUAGCAAGAACUCUAUGUAGCAAUACAUCAAUAAUAAGGGUGAAGUAGUAAAUCUUUAUCAAGACUUCUCAUGCUCAGCAUAUUUACAACCCAAAAGAGAUAAAGCAAUGCCCUUAGAACUUUAAAAAUGACAACAUUCAUUUAAUAUUAUAACUUAACAAAACAAGCAACCAUAUUUUCAUGCUUUUUAUCACAAGUUACAUUGCAAAGUUUAAAAGAAAUACCUAGCUUGUGGGAUUUCAAAAUGCAGCAACAAAGAAAAUGAAACUCGACAGCGAAUGACCGUAGGAAACAACAAUAAACAACAACGAGAAAAAAUUGAAUCCGUGUCAGAACAGCCUAGAAAUCUCACUAAUGACAGCAUAUUAGAACUUAACAAGACAAACAGCCGUAUUCUCAUGCUUUUUCUCACAAGUUACAUUGCAAAGCUUAAAAGAAAUACCUAGUUUGCAGAAUUUCAGAAUGCAGCAACAGAGAAAAUGAAACUCGGCAGCAAAUGACCGUAGAAAACAACAAUAAACCACAACGAAAUAGCAGUGAAUCCGUGUUAAAACAGACCAGAAAUCUCACUAACAGUAGAGAUUCUUUAGGAGAAGAUACUCCAGAAUCAAACUCUAAGACUCUAAUAUGUUUUUGAAAGAUUUUGCACUCUAAAACUCAACCAAAUCUCAUGAUUUUCAGCUUACUUUUCAUGUGUUCAAUUACUGAAAUUUUUUAUGUUGUGUUCAAGCAAUUCUAAAUAUGUAUGAAAGUGUGAUGGAGUCCCCCCUUAUAAAUAAGGAAAGGGUUGCCCUUAAGUAGGCAAAGAAAGACACUUUUUAGGUAAAUUUUUGUUUACCAAAAAUCUGUCAAAAAAGGGGCUGGUUUGGUGUACUAAACACUAUUCAAAGGCUGUCUAAAAUGUAAAAGGACAACCUGACUAAGGCCAGCUAGCGUACUUAAAUGAAAUGAGCUUUUUAUCAUAAGUUACAUUGCAAAGCUUAAAAGAAAUACCUAGUUUGCAGAAUUUCAGAAUACAGCAACAGCGAAAAUGAAACUCGGUAGGAAAUGACGUAGAAAAUAGCAAUAACAACAGCGCAAAAGCAGUGAAUCGUGCUAAAACAACCCAAAAAUCUCACUAACAAUAGUGAUGCUUUAGGAGAAGGAACUGCAGAAUAAAACUCUAAGACCCUUAUAUGUUUUUGAAAGAUUCUGCACUCUAAAACUCAACCAAAACUCAUGAUUUUCAGCUUACUUUUCAUGUGUUCAACCGCUGAAAUGUUUUUUUGUUUUGGUGUGUUCAAGCAAUUCCAAAUAAUGUAUGGAAAUGUGAUGGAGUCUCCCCUUAAAAAUGAGGAAAGGGCAAAGAAAGCCACUUUUUGAGUUGAUUUUAGUUCACCAAAAAUUUGUCCAAAAAAGACUGACUUUAUGUGCCAAACACUAUUCAAAGGCUGUCCAAAAGGUGAAAGGACAGCCUGAAAAUCUUCUAUAGCACAAGCAAGGAGAAAAUAUCAUUUCAGCCACCCUACUUGUCAAAAGUAAGCUACGAAUACCCUAAGUCAUGAUCAAACCCAUAACAACUUCAGAUUUUGACAACAUCAAUACCACCCUAUUGAUUUUGAACCAAAACAAAUCUCACAACUAACGAUUGAUAAAACAGAAAAAACUCAAACUAAUUAGAUUAAAACAAAUUGAUUUGUGCAAACUAAACAUAGAACAAACAAUUGAAUUCACAAACUAAUGCUCGAAACAGAUUUUGAAGAUCUCUAGACUAUCAUGAUUAAUAACAACUAAAGAUACGACUAAUUAUAUAUAAAAUUCAACUAAUAUUUUGGUUUCUUUUUAAUUUUUCAUGAAAAUAACAUAAAUACUUAACUAUUCGACUGACUAGGUCGAAAGAGCUAAAAAAAAUCAAACUUAACAACUAUAUAAAAAGUAGUCGACUGACUAAAUCGAAGAACCAAAAAUCAGAACUAAUAGACAAUAACAAACUACUCGACCAGCUAGGUUGACAAACUGAAAUUCACAUUUUCAAAUGUGUAAUUAAAAACUAAUACUCGUUGCACAUAAAUAACAGAAAUAUAAAUGGAAAUUAAAUAUUAGAACUAAUACUAUACCAUUAAUAAAAAAUCAGAAAAGAUAAUAAUAGGAAAAGGAAAUUGACAUUUUACCAUACAGAGGGAUUCAAUGCCAAAUCGAGCAAGAGACGGAUGCCGGGAUGACUCCAUGACUGCCCGACCUUGAACGGGCGUUUCAUUCUAGCACACUAAAAAACAAAUAAGUUCUAGUGCUGUACUAGAGAGAAACGAGUGUUUUUGGUCGGGGAUAAUCUAAAAAUAAAAGGCCUAUGAUGGUCUUGGGGUGGUCAAGACAGUGGCGAGCAGUGGUGUGGAAAAUAGCGGUGGUUGGACGUCGGGUAGUGGGGGUGACUGCCGGUGGUGGUGAGGUUUUUUGAGGUUUUGAGUUGGAGAUAUGGAAAGAUGUAUCGAAGAAGAGGUCAGUGGUGCAAAUUUUUUGGAGUUUGGGGUGGUGGGCAGCGGCUAGGGUUUUGGUUAAGAUUAGAUCUACAAAUAUUGAGAAGGGUUAUGAGAUUUUGGAGUUCAGAUUCAUGGAUAGGAGGUAGAGCGAAAAAAGUGAUGAAAUUUUGGGUUAGAUUGGAGGUUGGCCACCGCCGAUGGAGAAUUCUGGCGGGCGGCGCUGGGCGGACCUGGGAGAUAGAAGAGAGAUUGAUGAGAGAGUGCAGAGAGGGGAAGAAGAAAGGGAAAUAAGGCAUAAAGGGGGCAAAAUUUGGCCAAACUAGGCUUUAAAUACCUAAGAUGGG